UAACCUCCGUAGGCUGUCUGUUCCCCAGGCUGGGCUGGGCGAGUAUCUCUUCGAAUGGCUCACCCUCAAGAACGACUAGGAGC
rnacentral:pre_miRNA from 1 species